rnacentral:rRNA from 1 species
UACAGAGGGGGGCAAGCGUUUAUUCGGAAUUAUUGGGCGUAAAGGGCGCGUAGGCGGCUUUUCAAGUGGCGGGUGAAAGCCCUCGGCUUAACCGAGGAACUGCCUGCCAGACUGAAUGGCUUGAGACCGGGGAGAGGUGAGUGGAAUUCCCAGUGUAGCGGUGAAAUGCGUAGAUAUUGGGGAGGAACACCAGUGGCGAAGGCGGCUCACUGGACCGGUACUGACGCUGAGGCGCGAAAGCGUGGGGAGCAAACAGG